GAUGAACGCUGGCGGCGUGCCUAACACAUGCAAGUCGAGCGAACCCUUCGGGGUGAGCGGCGGACGGGUGAGUAACGCGUGGGUAACCUGCCCUGUACACACGGAUAACAUACCGAAAGGUAUGCUAAUACGAGAUAAUAUAUUUUAAUCGCAUGGUUAAGAUAUCAAAGCUCCGGCGGUACAGGAUGGACCCGCGUCUGAUUAGCUAGUUGGUGAGGUAAUGGCUUACCAAGGCGACGAUCAGUAGCCGACCUGAGAGGGUGAUCGGCCACACUGGAACUGAGACACGGUCCAGACUCCUACGGGAGGCAGCAGUGGGGAAUAUUGCACAAUGGGCGAAAGCCUGAUGCAGCAACGCCGCGUGAGCGAUGAAGGCCUUCGGGUCGUAAAGCUCUGUCCUCAAGGAAGAUAAUGACGGUACUUGAGGAGGAAGCCCCGGCUAACUACGUGCCAGCCGCCGCAGUAA
rnacentral:rRNA from 1 species